rnacentral:rRNA from 1 species
GACGAACGCUGGCGGCGUGCCUAAUACAUGCAAGUAGAACGCUGAAGCUUGGUGCUUGCACCGAGCGGAUGAGUUGCGAACGGGUGAGUAACGCGUAGGUAACCUGCCUGGUAGCGGGGGAUAACUAUUGGAAACGAUAGCUAAUACCGCAUAAGAGUAGAUGUUGCAUGACAUUUGCUUAAAAGGUGCAAUUGCAUCACUACCAGAUGGACCUGCGUUGUAGUAGCUAGUUGGUGAGGUAACGGCUCACCAAGGCAACGAUACAUAGCCGACCUGAGAGGGUGAUCGGCCACACUGGGACUGAGACACGGCCCAGACUCCUACGGGAGGCAGCAGUAGGGAAUCUUCGGCAAUGGACGGAAGUCUGACCGAGCAACGCCGCGUGAGUGAAGAAGGUUUUCGGAUCGUAAAGCUCUGUUGUAAGAGAAGAACGAGUGUGAGAGUGGAAAGUUCACACUGUGACGGUAUCUUACCAGAAAGGGACGGCUAACUACGUG